rnacentral:lncRNA from 1 species
UUCUGUGUUUGCUAGGCCCCGGCAUAGUCUCACAAAAACCCUUUCUCUCAUCUGCUAGGUAAAGGUUAAAAAUUAAACUGUCAUUUAUAACUUCUGGAGAGGGAAAAUAAUUUUUCUCCAAUGGAGUAACCUGGGUUUUAUUCAUCACUCCAUAUCUAGUCACAUGGUCAAAAAUAUUUGACCAACAAUAAAAGAAUAAAUAUGAUCAAAUAUAUUUAAAUUUAAUAACUGCUUUAAAUAAUAAAAAUAAAAACUGCAUGGUGUAAUGUAUCUAAAUGUGAGUUCAGUAGAUGUCUCUGUUUUAUAACAAAUUACUAUUUAAUCAGCUUUACAAACUAUUAAUAUACCAAAAAUAAUCUACUUAAAAGUUGAAACAAUUUCUACUUAAUAAAAUAUUAUUCUAAUUAGUAAUUGUUAAUAUACAACUAAAUUUAUUGACCUCAUAUAUUUUCUUAACUGUUCUUUAACUAAAUAUACACAUACACCCUGCUUAUAUAAAACUUAUCCAGAAAAUUUUAUGGUCAUGCAUAUUAUAGUUAAAGUCACAGUUUUUUUGUUUGUUUGAACAAUGAAUAUUUUAAAAGAGCUUUUAUUAGAAGUAAAAAGUUUACAUUUCAUUUGCUACAGUUCCAUUUACUAUUGUCUACAUAUAAAGUAUUUUAUGUAUUUUUCUUACAUUGCAUUUUUUAUUAUACCUGGUAACCUAAUUUAAUAUACAAAUGUCUUUUUUUAUUUACUUAAAUUUAUAAUAAAUUAAUAAUAGUUUGGUAUGAUCAGCCACCUAAACUUUAGAGCACAAUACUAUUUGUUCUAACCAUUAUUAGAAUAAUCACACAUUUUAAAUAACUUAUUGUUUUAAAAAUGAAAUAAUUAACUAGUUCAAUUAAUUUAUAAAAUUAGGAUAGAUAAAUUUAGAUUAAUACUCAUAAUUACAUAACUGAUAUCAACAAGUUCUUAAGAGAAAUUCUCAGGCUUUCCAUUCCAGUUAUAACUGUUUCUAAUCUACAUUGCUCUAUUUGAUCAGACUGCUUAUAUUAUCAGCGCUCCUUCCAACCUAGCACUAGUGUGCUUGUGCAUAUAAUACUAGAGAGGAAGCAUGGGCACUUAUAGGACUUCUGUAAUUCUCAGGGAUUAAUUUUAUGCACCAAUGGCAGAUCAAGUUGCAAUAAAACUAGGGACAUCUUCUCCUGUUAAGGCAACACAAGGCAACCCACUUAGAGGAAAAGACCCAAAAGGCAGGCAAUAGAGUCAGAAACAGCCCUUGCUCCUGUGUUAGGAGUCAGUCACAUAGGAAGACAAAGCUACACAAGUGUAACCUAUGUGCCUAUUUAACUCCCAAGCAGGCUCCUUGGUUUGUGGUUCCAUGUUUGUGAGCCUCUAUGAAUCCAGGUUAGUCAUUCUUUGAGGUUUCUUGUGGUGUCAUGGGUACCUCUUUGCCUUAUUAUUAUUAUUAUUUUUUGAUGAUACCAAACUUUCAACUCAUUUUUAUAUAAACUCAAAUUCUGGAAUUUGUUAAAAUUAUACCAAUGAAAAUGGAUUUAAUCCCAAAGGGACAGGGAGGUGCUUUUUUUUUGGUGAUGGCUCAGCAUGAAAGUGACUUGGAGUAGAACAGAAUGCCAUUAGUAAUCAUUUUAUUGCUACUUUUUAUUUUUAGAACGGUGGUAUUUUUAUUUUGUCUUUUAGUAAAAGAUUGAGAAUAUUACCCUGAUAAUGACAGUGGUGAUGAUGAUGAUAAAUUUUAAGCAUGUCAAAGAAUACUUACUACUUCAGUUUUGAAAAUUAUUUGUCAUGUAAUAUUUUCUGUUCCUAUUUUUCUUCCCCAACUCCUUCCAGAUACUUCUAACCUACCCUCCCAACCAAAUCCACACUUUUUUCUCUUCCCUUAUAUGGAAAAGAAGCAAAUGGAAAGGGAAAAGUAAGAGACAGUUAAGUGAGGGAAUAUGGGAGAAACAGUUAAACCUAAGGGUCAUUUGAGGGGUUCUUUGGAAAUGUCAUACAGUCAUACUCCUAAAAUAUAUGCAUAUUUGAUGGAUAUAAAAAGGGAACCAACAAAUAAGUGGGAGAUGGAGAACCAAGUGAACAUCUCACAUUUCCAAAUGAAGACUUCAUUUCUAGCAAUGGGUUAUAUCUAAUAAAGUUCCUGGCCAAAAGAACACCAGGAAAACUCCCAAUUAACCCAAGCAAUUACCAGACUAUUGUUGCUCUCUACAAACUGAUGGUUAGGCCCUACUGCAGAAGAUAAUGCCCACAAGACCAAUUGAAAAUACAGAACUUGAACUGGUGUCUACCUAGAGCCUUUACCGCUACUAUCUAGUGCUCAUGUUACUAGAAAAGUAUUCUUUUGUUGUUGUUAUGUUGUUGUUGUUUUCUUUUUUUUGUAUAUGAUUUUUUAAAUUUACAUUUCAAAUGUUAAACCCUUUCCUGGUUUUCUUUCCGGAACCCUCCAUCCCAUCCUCCCUCCCCCUGCUUUUGUGAGGGUGCUCACCCACCCAUCCUCCCACUCCUGUCUCCUUGCCCUGGCAUUCCCCUACGCUGGGACAUCGAACUUUCCCGGGACCAAGGGCCUCACCUCCCAUUGAUGUCCAACAAGGCCAUCCUCUGCUACAUAUGUGCCUGGAACCAUGGAUCCCUCCAUGUGUAGUGUUUGGUUUGUGGUUUAGUACCUGGGAGCUCUGGGGGUUCUGGUUGGUUGAUAUUGUUGUUCUUCCUAUGGGACUACAAACUCCUUCAGUUCCUUCAGUCCUUUCUCUAACUCCUCUAUUAGGGACAUGGUGAUCAGUCCAAUGUUUGGCUGUGAACAUCUGGAUCUGUACUUCAGGAGACAGCUCUAACAGGCUCCUGCAAACAAGCACUUCCUAGCUUUCACAAUAGUGUUUGGGUUUGGUGUCUGUAUAUGCGGCAGUCUAUGGAUGGCCUUAAUGAAACCCAAAGGAAAAGGCAAUCUGCAUCCCAGCUUCAGAGAUACUUUUUAAAAUAAUUAUUUAAACGUACCUGUGUAUUAUUUCUAUUUUCUUUUCAAUACAUGAUCUCCGAUAGACAGUUUUUUUAUGUUCUCAGAUACCUGCAGUAGAAUGGUGACUGCUGAGCAAUGAAUGAAGUUCCCAAGUUUGAAUGAAUGACUUUUGAAACACUGUGCAGUCCAUAAUGGGACACCAAGGUCUGCCUUCCAAAACCAGCAUACUCUGAACCUCAGAGUUGUAAAUUUACCUAUUUUCAAGAAUAUGUAAAUGACUUUUCUGAGACAUUUGCCAUGCUUUGGUCUCAGUCUUAUUUCUUCACAACUGAACAAAGAAACUUUCAGAUUGAUUUCAAAUGCUUCAAAUUGAGCAGAAUAGGAAAGGAUGGAGGAACUGUGAAAACAUGCAAAACUCGUGGUGGAAACUGAUGGGCAUGGGCGUGUUCAUCUUGUGAUACCUGUGCUUCUGUUGAAUUCUUUUACACAAAAAAUUCUGGCUACAAUAAUUGAGGGCAAAAUAUAGCUAAGAUUCUCAACAGGUCCCUGGAAAUGGUUCUGCCUCUCAGCAGCAAUUGAGCUAGUGCUUCUUCCAUGGGAGAUGAUUAAGUGCUUUCAAGAAAAGCUCUCCAUUUGGACACAAUUUUUCAUUGAUAUGAAGAAUCUUUUACUCAUCUCUGCUCUUACUCAAUAAGGCAUACUAAUCAGAGGACUUGGACUUUCCAAUUUAACUGUCCAAAAUUCAACUUGACUAACAGAGGGAAAAGUGCCACUUGAUAUUCUGUCUGCAAAUAAUGGUAAAAAGCAACCAAUGGACUGGAUGUGGUCAUUUCAGCUUAAAUCACUCUUCAUACAAAUUGACUUUUCAUCAGAUUAGUAGCAUGCAAGAAGGCAGAGUCUAGGACCCCUAAACAAAGCAAACAAAUGAAUUCGUGACUUGGAAAUACUCUCUUACCAUAAUCAUCUUAGGUUUCAUGUUUGUUUGAUAACCAAGCAAAGUUGAUUGGUUCAUGGAGUAUAGUAUGCAUUUGAUUAAUGUCUAUAAAAAGUUUAGUACAAGGGUCCAUUGUGCCAGCUGGGCUUUUGUGAAAUCAUCCAACACUGCUGAUUUAGCAGCCUGUUAACAUCAUUGCUCAUUGAAAUACUUUCUAACAAAUAAUUAAAAAUUAUAAAAUUAUUUUAUUGUGCUAAGUAAAUACCACAUGUUUUUGGAUUAAGACUUGGUGUUUUUUAUUAAAACAUACUUUUAGAAUGCAAGCUUGAAAAAAGAAGUUUUAAUAAAUUAAUAUCCAUUUCUUUUGAGGAUGGAGAUUCAGUGUAAAUAUAUUUUCUUCUGGCUCCAGUAUGUCUUAUUUCAAAGAAAAUUUCAUCAGAUUUUAGUUAGAGAAGAAUAUCAGUGGUUUUGUUUGAGAGUGCAUGUCAAGUUUAUUCCACAACAAAACAAUUACAUUAAAGAAAAUAUU